rnacentral:rRNA from 1 species
AUUGAACGCUGGCGGCAGGCCUAACACAUGCAAGUCGAACGAGUGGCGGACGGGUGAGUAAUGUCUGGGAAACUGCCUGCUGGAGGGGGCUAACUACUGGAAACGGUAGCUAAUACCGCAUCCCAUCGGCUGUGCCCAGAUGGGAUUAGCUAGUAGGUGGGGGAAAGGCUCACCUAGGCGAUGAUCCCUAGCUGGUCUGAGAGGAUGACCUGCCACACUGGAACUGAGUCACGGUCCAGACUCCUACGGGAGGCAGAAGUGGGGAAUAUUGCACAAUGGGGGCAAGCCUGUAGCAGCCAUGCCGCGGGUAUGAAGAAGGCCUUCGGGUUGUAAAGUACUUUCAGCGGGGAGGCGUUACCCGCAGAAGAAGCACCGGCUAACUCCGUGCCAGCCGCCGCGGUAAUAC